UCCUACGGGAGGCAGCAGUGGGGAAUAUUGGACAAUGGGGGCAACCCUGAUCCAGCAAUGCCGCGUGAGUGAUGAAGGCCUUCGGGUUGUAAAGCUCUUUUGCCAGGGACGAUGAUGACGGUACCCGCAGAAGAAGCCCCGGCUAACUUCGUGCCAGCAGCCGCGGUAAU
rnacentral:rRNA from 1 species